rnacentral:ncRNA from 1 species
UUCCCGACGCUUGGAAUCAAGAUGCUUUGGGCUCGGGGAAGUAAUAGCUGCCGAUCAAGGGGAUCUCUUCACGGCAGCCGGUAUAGCCGGUUAGUGCGACCCGCAAGGGCGAGAAGGCAAUGGCAGGGCAGCGUAAAAAACCCAACCACGGGCGCUGUCACUGUCCUAAAACCCACCAACCGCCAGACGCCGAAGAGGGCAGGGGGCGCAGCGGUAAACAAUCCCCGAAAGUCUGGAACGCCU